UUAAGCGACUAAGCGUACACGGUGGAUGCCCUGGCAGUCAGAGGCGAUGAAGGACGUGCUAAUCUGCGAUAAGCGUCGGUAAGGUGAUAUGAACCGUUAUAACCGGCGAUUUCCGAAUGGGGAAACCCAGUGUGAUUCGUCACACUAUCAUUAACUGAAUCCAUAGGUUAAUGAGGCGAACCGGGGGAACUGAAACAUCUAAGUACCCCGAGGAAAAGAAAUCAACCGAGAUUCCCCCAGUAGCGGCGAGCGAACGGGGAGGAGCCCAGAGCCUGAAUCAGUGUGUGUGUUAGUGGAAGCGUCUGGAAAGGCGCGCGAUACAGGGUGACAGCCCCGUACACAAAAAUGCACAUGCUGUGAGCUCGAUGAGUAGGGCGGGACACGUGGUAUCCUGUCUGAAUAUGGGGGGACCAUCCUCCAAGGCUAAAUACUCCUGACUGACCGAUAGUGAACCAGUACCGUGAGGGAAAGGCGAAAAGAACCCCGGCGAGGGGAGUGAAAAAGAACCUGAAACCGUGUACGUACAAGCAGUGGGAGCCUCUUUAUGGGGUGACUGCGUACCUUUUGUAUAAUGGGUCAGCGACUUAUAUUCUGUAGCAAGGUUAACCGAAUAGGGGAGCCGAAGGGAAACCGAGUCUUAACUGGGCGUUAAGUUGCAGGGUAUAGACCCGAAACCCGGUGAUCUAGCCAUGGGCAGGUUGAAGGUUGGGUAACACUAACUGGAGGACCGAACCGACUAAUGUUGAAAAAUUAGCGGAUGACUUGUGGCUGGGGGUGAAAGGCCAAUCAAACCGGGAGAUAGCUGGUUCUCCCCGAAAGCUAUUUAGGUAGCGCCUCGUGAAUUCAUCUCCGGGGGUAGAGCACUGUUUCGGCAAGGGGGUCAUCCCGACUUACCAACCCGAUGCAAACUGCGAAUACCGGAGAAUGUUAUCACGGGAGACACACGGCGGGUGCUAACGUCCGUCGUGAAGAGGGAAACAACCCAGACCGCCAGCUAAGGUCCCAAAGUCAUGGUUAAGUGGGAAACGAUGUGGGAAGGCCCAGACAGCCAGGAUGUUGGCUUAGAAGCAGCCAUCAUUUAAAGAAAGCGUAAUAGCUCACUGGUCGAGUCGGCCUGCGCGGAAGAUGUAACGGGGCUAAACCAUGCACCGAAGCUGCGGCAGCGACACUAUGUGUUGUUGGGUAGGGGAGCGUUCUGUAAGCCUGUGAAGGUGUGCUGUGAGGCAUGCUGGAGGUAUCAGAAGUGCGAAUGCUGACAUAAGUAACGAUAAAGCGGGUGAAAAGCCCGCUCGCCGGAAGACCAAGGGUUCCUGUCCAACGUUAAUCGGGGCAGGGUGAGUCGACCCCUAAGGCGAGGCCGAAAGGCGUAGUCGAUGGGAAACAGGUUAAUAUUCCUGUACUUGGUGUUACUGCGAAGGGGGGACGGAGAAGGCUAUGUUGGCCGGGCGACGGUUGUCCCGGUUUAAGCGUGUAGGCUGGUUUUCCAGGCAAAUCCGGAAAAUCAAGGCUGAGGCGUGAUGACGAGGCACUACGGUGCUGAAGCAACAAAUGCCCUGCUUCCAGGAAAAGCCUCUAAGCAUCAGGUAACAUCAAAUCGUACCCCAAACCGACACAGGUGGUCAGGUAGAGAAUACCAAGGCGCUUGAGAGAACUCGGGUGAAGGAACUAGGCAAAAUGGUGCCGUAACUUCGGGAGAAGGCACGCUGAUAUGUAGGUGAAGCGACUUGCUCGUGGAGCUGAAAUCAGUCGAAGAUACCAGCUGGCUGCAACUGUUUAUUAAAAACACAGCACUGUGCAAACACGAAAGUGGACGUAUACGGUGUGACGCCUGCCCGGUGCCGGAAGGUUAAUUGAUGGGGUCAGCGCAAGCGAAGCUCUUGAUCGAAGCCCCGGUAAACGGCGGCCGUAACUAUAACGGUCCUAAGGUAGCGAAAUUCCUUGUCGGGUAAGUUCCGACCUGCACGAAUGGCGUAAUGAUGGCCAGGCUGUCUCCACCCGAGACUCAGUGAAAUUGAACUCGCUGUGAAGAUGCAGUGUACCCGCGGCAAGACGGAAAGACCCCGUGAACCUUUACUAUAGCUUGACACUGAACAUUGAGCCUUGAUGUGUAGGAUAGGUGGGAGGCUUUGAAGUGUGGACGCCAGUCUGCAUGGAGCCGACCUUGAAAUACCACCCUUUAAUGUUUGAUGUUCUAACGUGGACCCGUAAUCCGGGUUGCGGACAGUGUCUGGUGGGUAGUUUGACUGGGGCGGUCUCCUCCUAAAGAGUAACGGAGGAGCACGAAGGUUGGCUAAUCCUGGUCGGACAUCAGGAGGUUAGUGCAAUGGCAUAAGCCAGCUUGACUGCGAGCGUGACGGCGCGAGCAGGUGCGAAAGCAGGUCAUAGUGAUCCGGUGGUUCUGAAUGGAAGGGCCAUCGCUCAACGGAUAAAAGGUACUCCGGGGAUAACAGGCUGAUACCGCCCAAGAGUUCAUAUCGACGGCGGUGUUUGGCACCUCGAUGUCGGCUCAUCACAUCCUGGGGCUGAAGUAGGUCCCAAGGGUAUGGCUGUUCGCCAUUUAAAGUGGUACGCGAGCUGGGUUUAGAACGUCGUGAGACAGUUCGGUCCCUAUCUGCCGUGGGCGCUGGAGAACUGAGGGGGGCUGCUCCUAGUACGAGAGGACCGGAGUGGACGCAUCACUGGUGUUCGGGUUGUCAUGCCAAUGGCACUGCCCGGUAGCUAAAUGCGGAAGAGAUAAGUGCUGAAAGCAUCUAAGCACGAAACUUGCCCCGAGAUGAGUUCUCCCUGACUCCUUGAGAGUCCUGAAGGAACGUUGAAGACGACGACGUUGAUAGGCCGGGUGUGUAAGCGCAGCGAUGCGUUGAGCUAACCGGUACUAAUGAACCGUGAGGCUUAACCUU
rnacentral:rRNA from 1 species